GAUGAACGCUGGCGGUAUGCUUAACACAUGCAAGUCGAACGGUCUCUUCGGAGAUAGUGGCGGACGGGUGAGUAACGCGUGAGAAUCUGGCUCUAGGUUUGGGACAACCACUGGAAACGGUGGCUAAUACCGGAUAUGCCGAAAGGUGAAAGGUUAACUGCCUGGAGAUGAGCUCGCGUCUGAUUAGCUAGUUGGUAGGGUAAGAGCUUACCAAGGCGACGAUCAGUAGCUGGUCUGAGAGGACGAUCAGCCACACUGGGACUGAGACAC
rnacentral:rRNA from 5 species